GACGAACGCUGGCGGCGUGCUUAACACAUGCAAGUCGAACGGAAAGGCCCUGCUUUUGUGGGGUGCUCGAGUGGCGAACGGGUGAGUAACACGUGAGUAACCUGCCCUUGACUUUGGGAUAACUUCAGGAAACUGGGGCUAAUACCGGAUAGGAGCUCCUGCUGCAUGGUGGGGGUUGGAAAGUUUCGGCGGUUGGGGAUGGACUCGCGGCUUAUCAGCUUGUUGGUGGGGUAGUGGCUUACCAAGGCUUUGACGGGUAGCCGGCCUGAGAGGGUGACCGGCCACAUUGGGACUGAGAUACGGCCCAGACUCCUACGGGAGGCAGCAGUGGGGAAUAUUGCACAAUGGGCGGAAGCCUGAUGCAGCAACGCCGCGUGCGGGAUGACGGCCUUCGGGUUGUAAACCGCUUUCGCCUGUGACGAAGCGUGAGUGACGGUAAUGGGUAAAGAAGCACCGGCUAACUACGUGCCAGCAGCCGCGGUGAUACGUAGGGUGCGAGCGUUGUCCGGAUUUAUUGGGCGUAAAGGGCUCGUAGGUGGUUGAUCGCGUCGGAAGUGUAAUCUUGGGGCUUAACCCUGAGCGUGCUUUCGAUACGGGUUGACUUGAGGAAGGUAGGGGAGAAUGGAAUUCCUGGUGGAGCGGUGGAAUGCGCAGAUAUCAGGAGGAACACCAGUGGCGAAGGCGGUUCUCUGGGCCUUUCCUGACGCUGAGGAGCGAAAGCGUGGGGAGCGAACAGGCUUAGAUACCCUGGUAGUCCACGCUGUAAACGGUGGGUACUAGGUGUGGGGUCCAUUCCACGGGUUCCGUGCCGUAGCUAACGCUUUAAGUACCCCGCCUGGGGAGUACGGCCGCAAGGCUAAAACUCAAAGGAAUUGACGGGGCCCCGCACAAGCGGCGGAGCAUGCGGAUUAAUUCGAUGCAACGCGUAGAACCUUACCUGGGUUUGACAUGGAUCGGGAGUGCUCAGAGAUGGGUGUGCCUCUUUUGGGGUCGGUUCACAGGUGGUGCAUGCCUGUCGUCAGCUCGUGUCGUGAGAUGUUGGGUUAAGUCCCGCAACGAGCGCAACCCUUGUUCACUGUUGCCAGCACGUUAUGGUGGGGACUCAGUGGAGACCGCCGGGGUCAACUCGGAGGAAGGUGGGGAUGACGUCAAGUCAUCAUGCCCCUUAUGUCCAGGGCUUCACGCAUGCUACAAUGGCUGGUACAGAGAGUGGCGAGCCUGUGAGGGUGAGCGAAUCUCGGAAAGCCGGUCUCAGUUCGGAUUGGGGUCUGCAACUCGCCCUCAUGAAGUCGGAGUCGCUAGUAAUCGCAGAUCAGCAACGCUGCGGUGAAUACGUUCCCGGG
rnacentral:rRNA from 1 species